AAUAGCAACAAAAACUGAGGGUUUAACGGUCUUUUUGAAGUCUCAAAACAUUUGACCCCAUGGGGGUGAUUUUUCGUGGGUAGGAAUCCUAAGUUGUUACUCUUGAAUAUCCGUUUUGACUGUCACACAAUGUGUCACACAUCUUCUGUUUUUAGAGGAUUACGUGUCGAAAGUUAGGAGUUUGUUGAGAGCAUUAUUAGUUUGUUAAACGUGGCUGUAACGCCCGUAUUUACUCGGGAUAAGGUAAAGACUGAACUAAGCAUGUAGAGCCGCAGGCAGCGGACAAGCGGACGCGGGUUCAAUUCCCGCCGCCUCCACCA
rnacentral:tmRNA from 1 species